UACGUAGGGGGGCUAGCGUUGUCCGGAAUCAUUGGGCGUAAAGAGCGUGUAGGCGGUCCGGUAAGUCCGCUGUGAAAGUCGGGGGCUCAACCCUCGAAUGCCGGUGGAUACUGUCGGGCUAGAGUGCGGAAGAGGAGAGUGGAAUUCCUGGUGUAGCGGUGAAAUGCGCAGAUAUCAGGAAGAACACCAAUGGCGAAAGCAGCUCUCUGGGACGGUACUGACGCUGAGACGCGAAAGCGUGGGGAGCGAACAGG
rnacentral:rRNA from 1 species